rnacentral:rRNA from 1 species
UGGGGGAUAUUGCACAAUGGGCGAAAGCCUGAUGCAGCGACGCCGCGUGGGGGAUGAAGGCCUUCGGGUUGUAAACUUCUUUUGCUCUGAACAAGGCGCACCAUGGGGUGUGUUGAGUGUAGGGGUUGAUUAGCGCCGGCUAACUACGUGCCAGCAGCCGCGGUAAUACGUAGGGCGCGAGCGUUGUCCGGAAUUAUUGGGCGUAAAGGGCUUGUAGGUGGCUGGUUGCGUCUGUCGUGAAAGCUCAUGGCUUAACUGUGGGUUUGCGGUGGGUACGGGCUGGCUUGAGUGCAGUAGGGGAGGCUGGAAUUCCUGGUGUAGCGCUGGAAUGCGCAGAUAUCAGGAGGAAUACCGGUGGCGAAGGCGGGUCUCUGGGCUGUUACUGACACUGAGGAGCGAAAGCAUGGGGAGCGAACAG